UACGUAGGGGGCAAGCGUUAUCCGGAAUUACUGGGCGUAAAGGGUGCGUAGGCGGUUUAUCAAGUCAGAGGUCAAAGGCUACGGCUCAACCGUAGUAAGCCUCUGAAACUGAUGAACUUGAGUAUAGGAGAGGAAAGUGGAAUUCCAAGUGUAGCGGUGAAAUGCGUAGAUAUUUGGAGGAACACCAGUGGCGAAGGCGACUUUCUGGACUAUAACUGACGCUGAGGCACGAAAGCGUGGGGAGCAAACAGG
rnacentral:rRNA from 1 species